GAGAAUUGCGUAGGAGGAAUUUAUUUGUUUAGUUCAUUGUUGAUGCUCCUGCUACAGUGCCUGGCACUUAGUAAACCAUCACUAUAGAGCUGUUUAAUGGAGGAUGACUUACCAUUGGAGGUACUCUCCAUUUAAAGAUUAUUAUUAUGGAGAAUGUCAUUGAAAAUACAGUUACAAUAUGAUGUUGGCAAAAUAUGUUGCCUAACUGAAAUAAAAGUUCUAAAUUAUUUCAAAAGUAAAUGGUGCUCUAUAUUCUCAGGUUAAAGAAAUGUCUACAUAGCUCAUUAGAAUAAGAGAUGUCUCAUUGCUCUGUGUAGACAGAUAAUCCAGUUGACUUAAUUUAGAGAGUGAGCACCUACUUUUUCUUCACCUCAACUGCUCCAAAUAAAGCUAAAUUUACCCUGGAAAAUGCCCUUUCUCCUUUACUUAAAAAAUCAUGACUGGCUUUCUUCUCGUUUGGUCUGUGAUACUUGCUAUUCCUUUUUUAUAUUGCCAAAAAUUAUGAAACCUCUUUAGGCCUCUUUUUAAAAAGAGUACAUAUGCACAUGUAUAAAUAUAUAUAUAUAUAUUUAUUUUUAUGUUAAAAAUAACAUUCUGUGCUUCUCCUUCAAUGAGCCUACAGUGUUAAUGACUCUUAAACAUAGUUCUCCUGGCAUAAAGAUUGGUAAUUUUAUUAAGAGCAGAAUGAUAGCUUUUAAGUUGAAUAUUCCUCUAACAUUUUUUGAUUUUUAAGACUUUCUUUUGAAAAUAUUUUAAAAAGCAAAACAUAUGACUGUGUUUUAGUACCUUAACAUUAGGCUAAAGAUAAUUCAUUAGGUAAUCACCUCAAAUUUCUUUCUCAGGAGAAUCAGUUUCCAUUUUAAAAUCAGCAAAAUAGAUAUACAUAUAACAUAGGCUAGUAUUUCAUUAAAAGAACUUAUUCUUUUAUUUUUUUUAAUUAGGUUGAUCUUAGGCUGACAAUAUCCUAACACAUUUUAGUAAUAUAUUGUCAAGAUAUAAAGCCUGUUUUUUUUUCAGCUGAAACAUAUAUUCAUUAUAUAAAACUCAUUUAUGUCGCAUAGAAUGAAAACUCUCCAGAGUUCCUAGUCUUAAAUAGAUUUGCACACACAUCCAAAUAAAUGUUAAAUGCAAAGCAUUUUGACAGAGUUAAUGAGAAAGGCAUACCUUUCUCACAUACCUAGCCCACCAAACCACAGAAAAUUUUUAAGUGCCAGCUUUGAAGAAGCCUAACAGCCUAACAUUUUUUAAGAUGAUAAGGAUAUAAGUUAUAAAUUAAAAUAUUCAAAUUUCAAAGGCUUUAAGCAACUGCUUUCUAAGGUGAUUUUUGCCCCUCUGAAAACAAAAGGUUUAAGUAGUAUGUGUAUCAGUAAAAUAAUUUCUUUCAUAUUUGUGUGAAUGAGGCUAACAUUCAUAUGUACAUACAAAAAUAUUCAAGAAAAACAAGUUUAGAAUACCAGGUUAAUUAUUUUUUAGUGUAUGUGAAAUAUUGGUUUUCCUCAACUCUGUCCCAGCGUCAAGGUCUAUAGCUUUUAUUGGAACCAGCUAUCUCAUUUUCAUAGGGUCCCAGGAGGCGAGAGUCAUACAUUGUUACUUCAGCCUUCAAAGAGGCAAAGCAGUACAGAGCCUUGUACUGUAAUAGACAACACAGAACAGUCCCAAUUUCAGUUCCUGUUAUAUUGACAAGCCUCCUUUCAGUGUUCUGGCGCUUGACUAGCACAAACAGUACCAGAUCCCUUUCAGCGGAGACUGCAAACGGAAUAAAAAAUCACUUGAGGUCUCUAUACAUUUGCUGUAAUAUUUAUGAGAGAGGGUUGUCUCCUUUUGAGCUUCGUUGCGUCGGACCAUUCCUGUGUCUUCGCAUCUUAGCAUCUUCUUAGCAUCAUCUUAGCAUCUGUCUUAGCAUCUUCUGUGACCUGCACCAGAACUGGGCAAAUCGCGUGGCCUUAGAAGAGUCUGAUCUCCUGGUGGGUGGGAGCGUCUCUCCAGCCUCCUCUCCAUCCAUUUCCCCUCCCUCCAGGUGUGUGUGUCCUGGGGAGGAGGUGGGAGAUAUAAAGGAGAGGAAGAGCGGGGAAGCAAGGCCCAACUCCUCAGAGAUCUCCACACCUCACCCCCGCAGUGCAUUAAGGCCUGACCCAUGGCCUUCUGGUCUCACCUUCUUCCUACUGGUGCGCAGAGACGCUUGCUUCUCCCGCGUCCCUGCAUCCAGGGCGGGGUGGGCUGGGGAUGGCAAUGGGUUCGAGAUUACACACCUGAGCCAGGGAGAGGAGCCCCAUUUCCCGCCCCGCCUGGUUUCACACCGUGUCCACGUCGCUCCUUGUAACCAAGCAGAACAUAGAGUUGGAAGAAAUAGGGGGAAUGAAUCGUAAAGGGGCACAGCCCCCUUGUCUCAAGCUCAAGGGAAAAAAAUCUCCCCGAAAUGUGGGUGCUUGACUUCAGUUUAAUUCUUGGCAGUCUUUCUUAGUCGCGCGUUGUUGUUCACAGACAAUUAUAAAAUGAAUGUUUGAACCCCUGGGUUGACAAAGGAACCGCCGGAGGGUCGAGCCAGCAUCCCCCAACACCUUACAAGUCCCGCGGCCCCGCCCGAGGCCUGCCGGGCGGAGGCGUUCGUUUUGUGGUCCCGGGAGGCGGCCUCCAGCCUCGGGGAAGGCAGCUGCUGUGGACUUGGAACCGCGAGGAAGUACGGCCGUGGCCGGUGGAUGUAAAACAAACCAAACAAACAAAAAACUCUUUGCAACCGGAUUGAUCCAGUCUCGCUGCUUCACAGAGAGCGCGGUGUGGCCGCUUGCCUGGCGCGGGGGCUAUAGCCGCAGGGAGGCUGGGCUCUGGAUCUGGAGGAGUUGAUGUCUUAAAAUAAAUGACAGGGACAGUUCUUUCCCGAGGCAAAGCAUCCACCCCGCCCCCGUCCCCCAUGAAGGCAGUUGGCUUUGAACUCUGGGACAACUCUCCCACCUUCGGCGCGAGACCUGCACCUCGAGUUCGGUCCAGGGCCCAGGGCUCGAGCGCGACACAUCCAGGAGUGGAAAUGCCUUCGGUUAACCGAGAAGGUUGACACUGAAUCCAACUGAGCAGGAAAAUCUGCCGCAUCCGCGCGCUGGAACUGCGAGCACCCGAGAGAGGCGUGCAGGCUGCAAGACCUUCCUCAGCGCCGCGCUGAGCGGUCCUGCUUUAACUCCGUGCAGCCCCGGAAAACUGUCCAGCCAUCCAGGUUCACGGCCGGCUUGUGUCACCGGCGCAUAAAUCACUGUCAGCCCGGACAGAGCAGGCAGAGAGAAAGCUCGCUCGUCCUGGCCACGCGGGCUCUAGGCAGAUUAACUGUCCCGGCUCAGAGCGAAUUGCCCGCCCAAUCUCCUGGGCUCCGAAAGCGAGCUUGCACUUUCUCGGACGCGCAGAGGGAGCCAGGGAGAUGGUUCUAGCCACCUACAGCCUCUUCUCGCCAGGGCCUGAUUACUGACCUGCAGUCAGGGAAGUCGAGAGCGAAUCAUCAUCAGAUCUCAUUUUGUGCACGGGGAUCCCUAAGCCCAUUAAGGUUAAAGUGACAUUCUCAAGGUCAUUUAAAGCUUUAGGAAAACUUCUGCUUGACUCGAAGUCCCUUGGUUCCCGCCAUCACUGCCUGGCCCCUCCAUCAUCCUGCCUCUCAAAUAAAUGGUUUUAGAGAUGUCAGGAUGUAAGGAUGCUAAUAAAGGGAAAAUCACUAUAUGCUGAAUUUGCAAUGGACCACUAUAAUUUUCAGCAUGAUAUUUCUAGUUAUCGUCCCAGAAACGUUCUUCAGAUCUUUCCUCAUUCUACCUAACAAAUUCAGAUACGCAGAAUCUCCGGCGAUCUUAGAUAUCAGGGUGCUAGACACCCAAUCCACCUCCCAACACUUUGCCCCCCCACCCCCACCCGGCAGUGGGUUCUGGGCACUCAUCCAAGUCAGGAGGAGUGGGGGACCUGGGGUAGGCGCGGGCUCGGGGAAAUGCCGAUCCAGGCGAGUGGUUAGGCAAUCAGCUUUCACCUUCCCAUAAACUAUUAGAGAAGGGACUGGUUUUCGUCCAGCAAACUCUGCCCUUAGGCGCUCUGGGCUUGACGCUAUCUUACUAUUGCUCACUAUUCACAUUAAUUAUUCUAGGAAAGCUCAGCACACCUCUGCACUCUUUGAGUAAAGGCAAGCCAUUUCGGAUUCUUUCUCUCAGUGGCAUUCUUUUUUUUCCUCCCAAUCAUUCAUGCACGCAUUCACUCAUUCACUUAUAUCUGGGUUGGAAGUUGGUGGUCCCUCAAAGCAUUUAUUUCUGUAAGAGGCCACAGUGAUGAUCUCUUCCCUUUUAUUCUCAAAUGACUCUCUCUCCCUCCCCACCCCACCCCCACCACCGUUUUAGUCCUACUGUAGGAGAGAAACCCCAACCUUCAACUGUCAACUGUUUUCCAAACACGAGAUUAAUGUUCCCCAGGACUCAGGGGUAAUGUGACCUUUCUGUUUUCAGAUGUGUUUUUCAACAUGUAAUCGUUUGUUUGUUAUGUCUCCCGGUGUGGACUCGGGAAAGCUGGGAAGGGUGUGGGUUGCCAAGGCGGGAAAUGAAUUUGGAGACUUUUUAUUCCCUUUUCAACACAGGAAAACUCAGAGCAUUUUAUUUUUAUUUACCAGAAGAUAAUCCCCUGAAAAAAAAAAUCCACAAUACUGAUACUGAAAAGAAAUCUGAGCAUGUAAUGAGCAACUAUUUUAAAAAGCAUAUCUCCAAACCAAAAGCAAACCUAUUUUUCUUUUAAAUGAGAGGGACUUCUUGGAUGUUGGUCAUGUUUUUUUCUUGAUCUAGGUAGUUACAUGGGAUGUACUGUUUUUAAUUAUUUAUUGAGCUUUUAAUGUAUGAUUUGUGGCUCUUUUUGCAUUGUUAUACUUCAAUUAAAAGCUUUAAAAAUCUAAAAAAUAGGAAACCUCUGGUAUGUGUGUUUGCUACUAAAUCUCCUAAAAUCUAUUUCUAAUGAAUUUCCAAACCAAUAUAUUUGUUAAACUAUAUUUAAGAAAUUUACCAAUAACUUGGUUUCUCAGUAAUAGGUUCUGAAUCAGACUGAGAACAAUGCACUUGAAUUAGUUAUUAGAAAAACAGUAUAAAAAUUGGAUGGCUUUCUAAUAUAGUAAAAUAUCAAAUGAGCAGUGAGAGUUUAAAGCUUGUCUAAGAAAAAUACCUAAAGAAACAAAAUAGCCAUUUGGUUAAAAACAACAACCAGACUUCAUACUUUAAAACGGUAUUUAAUUGUUUGAUACUAACUCCUAUUCGAAAAUGUUUUAUCCCAAACGAGAAUUUUAAAAAGGGUCUCAGCCAUACUCAAAAGUUAAUUUCUGUCACUAAAAAGAAGGCAGUUUGAAACGUGUUUUCCCUCCAUAAAAUAUUGUUAGGUUCCUUUCAUGAUUGGUCACUUUGUAUUUCACCAAGAACCAAAGACUAAAUUGUUCUUCCCAUUUAAUCAAUAGCUUUUAUUGCUGGCAUCAACAACCCCACUUAUGACUUUAAGCUGCCUAAUUUUUCUGCUACCCUGUUCCAUUAAAAAAUAAAAAUCGUGAUUCUCAAAAAUCUAGUAAGUGAUUUUCCGACAAAUGGCUUUGUUGUUGACUCCACACCACCCCAAACCCCUUCCCUCUCUCUCUCUCUCAAGGACCCUUCGUCUCCAGGAACGGUCACUGAGCCCGCACUGCUCACACCAAGGCUUACUUUACAGGCCCUUCCGCGGUUUUAUGAUUGGUUGCUGUGGUUGGAAUGUUUAUAGAUAAUAAACAACUAAUCCGCUUCUUGCCUAAUGAAUUGCCCCACCCGCGUACCAGUGGAACGGCUGUAACUUAGCUCCAGGAUCGAGAGCCAGUGAUAGCCGGGACCGAAACCACCCAACGUAGCCGCAGCUCAGUAUCAAAGCCGAAAGAUCCAAGGCCAGCAGAAGCCUAUUUCGCAUUUUCGAGUUCCUCUGCUCUGGAGCCCCUAGACUCCACUCGUGCUUUGCUCCACCCGCUCCUCUCCCCGUCGGUUUGAAGGAUGUAUUCCAAUGAACAGAAGCUUUCUGAAAAGCGUGCGUCUGAAAAGCGGGGCAGCGGUGUGGAGCCUGGUCGCAGGCACAGGACCCGCCCUCCGGGGACCGCGGCGCUGGGUCCGCAGCAGCUCUUAUUUGGCCGCACGGGCCCCUUCAGUCUUCCGGCGGCAUAUGGCAGUUUGAAUCGUCCUGACUC